GGGAAACACAACUAUUUAGCCAAGAGGACUUUCCAGAGAAAGCUGUUUGAGCUGCCAGCAGGGAAUGGAACUACUUGUACAACAGUCAGCAUCUAGCAGGCUUGCAAUCAUGGGUUUGGUUCUUGAAAAUGCAUAAACCGACCAUGUUUAUAUUUGGCCUGAGCAUUAUAUGAACCAUGUUUGACAGGGCCUAGAAUCUUACUGUCUGAUGUCACCCCCCGCCCCCUACAAUGUGGAUAAAGUCAUCGCACGCAACUCCAUUUUUUUAAACAUUGCAAGAUGAAAGGAAAACAGGAAGAAGGUAGACUACACCAGCUUCCCCCACUGAGUCCCUUCUUGGUUUAUAUUUUGUCCACCAUGGCUUGUUUCUAGGACACUACGUGGAUACUUCUUCCAUCUGGGAUCCAGAUAAAAUCUGAAUGAAAGUAACAGGACACCAGAAGUGUUGCAGGAUUUUUUUAUCGUAAUGCCUGGGAUUUGUUGUCUCGCAGCUUCGAAGAAUAAAGAGGGCUCAAAACCUUUACACAAAAGCCAGCCAAAUGUUCCUAAUUCUAGGGAACAUGUUAUUUUAGCCUUCAUGAUGAUGACUCAACCCUGUGCCUCACUGCUAUGUAAGAUUCCAACAGAGAUGACAUUUUGCAAUCCAGAGAAGCAACAUGUCCCCUGUCUGGAGGUGAACUGAGAAAUAGUUCACUUCAAAUGGGCCUCUAAACAGCUGUCAGAUUCAGAGGAGAAUCACGCAUUGCACCAUCCAGCUUAACUCGUAUUUCUGAAUAUACUACAACUCACCAUAUUCACCACCCCCCCAUGUGUUGGCCAAGAACUAGCUAGGUUCAAGUGUAACUUAACCACUAAUUUUGACUCUUCCCAUUCCUGACCCAACUUAAAACUCUUAAUUGUUCCAAGUAUCUUACCCAUGAAUUGUUUUAUACUGCCUCAGAGGACGAGACUUCCACACCCAUGAAUGGGUUUUGCAAGAGACUGAUAUUGGACCACGGGUAUUUCCUUACUCCUGGAAGAUCGUGAGAAGAAAGUUGGCUCCAGAGUAUGUUCAUCUUGUUAGUAGACCUGCAAAGAGCCCAAGUAUCACCCACCAAACUAACCUCAGUCACCUGAAGGAGGUUUGCAACAAUAGUUGUAACAUUCCCUUCCCUCUAUCGUAGACUAUACAAUGUGACUUUGCCCUGUCUUCCAUCUUGAGGUGGAGUCUAGUUCCACACCCCUUGAAUCUGGGCUGACCUUAUGAUUUUCUUUGGCAAAUUACAUGUGGCAAGUAAUUGUGCCAAUUCUGAGUCCAGGCCUUAAAAUAACUUACGCAUUUCCAUUGCUGUCUUGGAAAUGUCCUGCUGCCUUGUGAACAAACCCAAGCUACUCUGCUCUAGAAUGGGAAACGACGGAGGGGCGCCUGGGUGGCUCAUUCGGUUAAGUGGCUCUUGAUCUUGUCUCAGGUCAUGAUCUCAUGGGUUCGUGAGUUCAAGCCCC